UCCUGAGGGGCAGGGAGGGAGGACAAGGAUGGAUGGACACACAGCCAGGGAGAGAAGAUACCAUCAGACGGGUGCAAGAAGUCUAGCCAGGAUGAAGUUGUCUUUCUUGUUUUGAAUUAAAAGCACUGAUUGUGUGAUUUCAUUCUUCGUUUCUUAAAUGUCUGUUGCCAAGCAACUUACGUCAGUGGUUCUCAGAAGGAAGGGUGAGACAGCAGUCCCUGAGUGGCAGGUGACCAGCAACACAAUGCCCUGAGGCUGGUGAGGAGGCCGUGCUGACCAUGGGGGCUAAGGCCUGGAGGAGCCCCCUGCAGGAGGGACUGACUCACAAGCUGACAUGGACCAAGCCCUCUUCUGAGACCACUGAGAGCAGGAACCUAGGUCGGUCCGGUGCACCUGUCCGGCAAGUCCAGGCCCCCAAGCCAAGGCCAAGCACCCACCCCCGCCUCCCAGGGGCUCGGGGUGGCCGCGAAGCCCCGCCCCGCCGUUGGCCAAUGGCCGCGCGGUCCCGCCCCUCCCCACCCUCCCCCUCCCCUGUAGGGGAGGGUUCCGGACUGUCCCGGGAGGUCGGCCUGUCGGCGUGUGGUGGCAACCCGAGGUAAGAUAGCCUCCCCGGGCGCUCGGUCCCGUCGGCUCAGGACGCGCGGACGCCUCCCCGGAAGGUGGUCAGCGGCGGCAGAAGCCGAGUGGGACUCGAAGUGCGCCCGGGCGCACGGGGUCUGGGGCGCACGGGGUUCCGGGGACAGGACUGGCCGCGCGGGUCUGGGGAAGGGCUGGUCCUAAGGGCACACGCGGUUCGCGGCAGCGAGGGCUCCACGAGCCUCAGCCAGCACCCAGGGUGGCUCCGGGCGUCUGCUGGCACUGGAGGGGAGGUUGGGCCGGAAGGAGGCAGGCACAGGCAGCUGAGGUCCUCCAGCCGCACCGGCAGGCCGAGGGUGACCCUGGGACGAGGCCUAGCCUGGAUGGGCCAACCUCCCGGAGCCGCGGCCGCGCCUAGGGGCCAGGGCCGUCGCCCUCCCCUAGAUCUUUACAGUUCUCGGUGAUGAUACCUGCUCAGAACAGCCUCUCAUCCUCCGCGGGCCUGGUCCCAUCCAGGAAUCCUAGCCAAAGCAGUGAGGCCUCGCCCCUCUGGGCCCGAAGAUUAUUUCUUUCCGGGACGCACUCAGAGCCUCCGAGGCUGUCGGGUAGGAAAUUCUCCUUGCAACGUUGGUCCGCCCUUCUUCUCUGAGACCACAAGGAGGUGCUAGGAAAACAUUGAAAAAACAAAACAAAACAACCCCCCACAACAACACAACAAACAACCACGUUCUCCUGCACGCUGUGGAGCCUCAAUAACUUCUAGAAGGAUAGUCAGUUACCUGAGAACCGUGACUGCUGUAGAGGGCAGGUUAGAAUGCUCUCAGCCUUGUCAGAACGAUGUCCAUUUCCCACAAGACAAGGACUAAAUAUUGCAGUCUCCCAGGGGCACCCCCACCCAGCGACCCCCCCUCACCCAGACAGUGGCCUUGGUCCCUCUAGUACUGUGAGUCUCACUUGCUGCAGCUGCCCCCAUGUUCUGCAAGAUGCAUGGUGAGCUGCAAGGAGGCAACAAGUCCUGGGUUCAAAUCCUGUCAGGAUCACGGGUCUGCUUGUGCAGCCUGGCAUCAUUUCUCCUCUCCUAAAUGAAAGAAACCCAGGAGGUGCCUGCCUAAGUGGACCAUCAGUAUGUGAACAAAUGUGGUCUUCCUUUCUUUUUGGUUGGAGCAUGUUAUAUUUCCAUACUCCCCUAACUGUGUUACUAAGGGCUGAGGCUCAGGUGCAGAAGAAUGUGUUACCUGAUUCUGUCCUGGUACUUCCCUGGAUGCCAUGGGAAAGAAGGAGAAAAGGGUCAUUUAGUCACCAUAGAGUUGUUCUUUGCUCGUCUCCUGAAGGCUCAGAGGACUCCCACCCCACCACCUCCUUGAUCCUCUUGACCUCUGUCAUUAACACUUGCCCCACCAGGAAUGUAGCACCUGGUGGCUACGAAGGGAGGCAGGCAACAUGAGGCUCUGAGGCCGGUAGACAGGACUGUCGCCCCAUUUCCCAUGUGGUGAGGGACUGGCAGCUCAGCUGUGCUCUGCAGCACUGCCUCCUAGAGUCCCACCCAAGACUGACACCACCUGGCCCUCCCUUUUCUGAUUCCUUCCUUCCCAGAAAAUCCACUUGGACAUCUAGUAGCCUCUUAAGCUUUUUCAGAAUGGAUCUUUGGAGUCCUCUCUGUGCCACAACUUGCCCACCAGAUUUUCUGGCUUGGAAAAUGGCACCAUCCAUGCACCUAGUGCCUGAGGAAUCACCUUGAUUCUUCUCCCUUCUUCACCUCCCACAUGCACAACACACUAGGAAUCCAGCCACCUCUCACCACCUCCAUGGUUGGCAUUCUGGCCAUACCCUUCACGUGGCUCCCUGCUUUAGCCUCCUGAUUUGUCUUCUUGCUUCCAUCCUGGUCCCUCCACAGUCUAGCUCCUCACAACUACCAGGGAGGUCUUUAACAUAAGUCAAAUCCUCUCCCUUCCUUGCUCAGAAGCCUCCUAUGGCUCCCCAUUUCACUCGAGAGAGAAAAAAGUAAACCCAAAACUCAAAGUCUUUUCCUGCAACGCCCCCAUAAGCCACCACUCCCAACCUCCUUGACCUUGAUCUCAGCCCCUCCCCUAGUUUUUUAAACCUGGACCACCGGGAACUGAUUUCUGUUCUUUAAACAUGCCAAACUUGUUUCCACCUGAGGACUUCUAAUUUGCUGUGCCCUCUGCCCAAAACACUGAUCUCACAGUCCAGAAUGGCUCAUCUCAAAUGUCAUUAAUCCAGAAAGACUUCCUGACCAACUCUGCCUAGGCAGCAUGCCCUUCUACAGGAGUUCUGUCUUCUUAUCCUGCUUUAUUUUCUUUAUAACCUUGAUUAUUGUUUGGAAUUUUUAUUUAUAUGUAUACUUACUGAUUUGUCAUCUGUCCCACCUCAAGAGAAUAUAAAUUGGAUGAUGGCAGAGAUCUUAUCCCUCUUACUCCCUACAGCUCUCCCUGAGGGGGGAAGCAGGUAAGAAAUUUGCAGACAGCCCCAUCUAUAAUUGCAAAUUGUGGUAAGUGCUACUUAAGGCAAUUGCUUGUAAUUGAGGCGCUUGUAAAUGUCAAGUUUACUAGGUUGAACUAUUGUGUUGUCAAAAUAAGCUCUCUGAGCCAUUUUAGGAGUGAAGACAAGCCUGGAAAAGACUGGUAAUUUGCCCCAGAUCACACAUAGUGAUUGGAACUCAGCCUCCUACCCUAAGAACAUGUAUGUGGCAAGCUUUAAUGGUGGGCCUGCAAUCAUGUUCUGGAAAGAAACUGAUCCUAGAGCCUGAUAAUUUUCCACUAACUAGCAAGCCCUUAUUCUUGGUACUUCAUUUUCUUCACCUUUAAAGUAGGAUGAUCUUAUUAUUAUCCUUUUGGGCUUUUUCCCCCCUAGUACACCCCAAAGAAGUAGGACUUCUUGCUUUCAGCAACGAGGGGCACAUACAGACCUUAGGACAAUGGCAAGGAGUCAGAACUCUCUGCAAUACCAACCAACCUACAAGACAGAAAUGGGGCCUACAUCUUCUGGAUCUUAUUUCUUUUGUUCAUCAAUUCAUUUUUUAUUUUUUGAGGGCCUCUGGACUUGGGCAGUAAUAGAAUUGGAUGAUUAAAGAAAGAAGCAAAACAUUCCAAAGAGUUGAGAAAGAAAGAAGUAAUUGCCUUUUGUCCGAUCCC
rnacentral:lncRNA from 1 species